rnacentral:lncRNA from 1 species
UUGAAUGUAUGAAUGAAAAUUACCUCUUGUGUGUAUUGUGACAUGGUAUCAGAGCAGGACACACGGUCCUGGUUCCUCUUCUCCAAGUUACCUGUAGCCCGGUUCUUGUGAACAUUUUCACAAACACAUGGAAGACCCCAACUUCAUCACCGAUCCCAGCCAAUCUUCACCUAAUUCUGAUGCUAUACUUACAGAUAUUUCCACCAAAAUUUCUGAAGCCUUAAC